UACGUAGGGGCAAGCGUUGUCCGGAAUCAUUGGGCGUAAAGCGCACGUAGGCGGCCCGGUAAGUCCGUUGUGAAAGUCAGAGGCUCAACCUCUGGAGGCCAAUGGAUACUGCCGGGCUAGAGUCCGGAAGAGGCGAGUGGAAUUCCUGGUGUAGCGGUGGAAUGCGCAGAUAUCAGGAGGAACACCAAUGGCGAAGGCAGCUCGCUGGGACGGUACUGACGCUGAGGUGCGAAAGCGUGGGGAGCGAACAGG
rnacentral:rRNA from 1 species